rnacentral:rRNA from 1 species
UACGUAGGGUGCGAGCGUUGUCCGGAAUUAUUGGGCGUAAAGGGCUCGUAGACGGUUUGUCGCGUCGGGAGUGAAAACUCAGGGCUCAACCCUGAGCGUGCUUCCGAUACGGGCAGACUAGAGUGCGGCAGGGGAGACUGGAAUUCCUGGUGUAGCGGUGGAAUGCGCAGAUAUCAGGAGGAACACCGAUGGCGAAGGCAGGUCUCUGGGCCGCAACUGACGCUGAGGAGCGAAAGCAUGGGGAGCGAACAGG